rnacentral:rRNA from 1 species
CCUACGGGAGGCAGCAGUAGGGAAUUUUCGGCAAUGGGGGGAACCCUGACCGAGCAACGCCGCGUGAACGAAGAAGUUAUUCGUAAUGUAAAGUUCUUUUAACAGGGAAGAAAGAGAAAUUUGACGGUACCUGAAGAAUAAGCUCCGGCUAACUACGUGCCAGCAGCCGCGGUAAUACGUAGGGCGCGAGCGUUAUCCGGAAUUAUUGGGCGUAAAGGGUGCGUAGAUGGCAUAGUAAGUCUUUUGUAAAAGUGCUGGGCUAAACCCAGUAGGGCAAAAGAUACUGCAAAGCUAGAGUAUGACAGAGGCAAGUGGAACUACAUGUGUAGCGGUAAAAUGCGUAGAGAUAUGUAAGAACACCAGUGGCGAAGGCGGCUUGCUGGGUCGAUACUGACGUUGAGGCACGAAAGCGUGGGGAGCAAACAGGAUUAGAUACCCGUGUAGUC